GUUGGGCUUCGUUUUAUUUUUUAAAGAUACGUUUUCUUCCCUGUCUCCAGACAUAAGGGUUUGAAUUAAAAAUUAUACUUUGAAUGCCGCGCAGAUGUUGACAUUCAAAAACCGAAUCUUUGUGGGCCUAUGGGUUGCUAAGCAACUUGUGCAACCCAAUCAGGCCCAGUUUGAAGGUGGAAACCAUUCCAAGAGAAAGAAAAUGAAGCAUCCGUCAGCAAGUGCCAAGGUUAUGAGAUUGCAAGAACGAGUCCUUAAUAGUCAGUCAGUCUCCUUUUCAUGUAGACGUCUGCAGAACUGUGCACUGCCUGCCCUGGGCCAUGAAGGUUGCUGCUGGUUUUUUCUCAUUCUCUUUUGAGACCUCCCAGGAUGGGAUGGGUCCCCCUCAGGUAAGAUGGUCUCUAU
rnacentral:lncRNA from 1 species